GAUGAACGCUAGCGGCAGGCUUAACACAUGCAAGUCGAGGGGUAGAGGUUGCUUGCAACCUUGAGACCGGCGCACGGGUGCGUAACGCGUAUGCAACCUACCUUUUACAGAGGGAUAGCCCAGAGAAAUUUGGAUUAAUACCUCAUAGUAUAUAACCUUCGCAUGUUGGUUAUAUUAAAGUUCCAACGGUAAAAGAUGGGCAUGCGUCCUAUUAGCUAGAUGGUAAGGUAACGGCUUACCGUGGCAACGAUAGGUAGGGGUCCUGAGAGGGAGCACCCCCAAACUGGUACUGGGACACGGACCAGAAUCCUACGGGAGGCAGCAGUGAGGAAUAUUGGACAAUGGGCGCAAGCCUGAUCCAGCCAUGCCGCGUGCAGGAAGAAGCAUCUAUGGUGUGUAAACUGCUUUUGUACAGGAAGAAACACCCCGACGUGUCGGGGCUUGACGGUACUGUAAGAAUAAGGAUCGGCUAACUCCGUGCCAGCCGCCGCAGUAAAAC
rnacentral:rRNA from 1 species